rnacentral:lncRNA from 1 species
CUGGCUUCAGCUCUGAAGAAGCUGCCAUGAAGGACAUUUGUGUGGUUCCAUCAUAGAUGUUAGAUAUCAGCCACAGAGCAAUUAAUGCCACCUAUUCUGAAACAAGAAUGAACUUGGUUUUCUAAGUCAUCUGUCAUGGAACAUUUGAAGAACAGAAAGACCUGUAGGAGAACUUUGUUUAGCGGGCUACCUAGUGGAUGGAUAUUUGGAGUUAGCUAGCAUCUCAUCCCUCUGCUUGGAGUUAGAAGGCAAUUCCUUGCACAAACGGAGACUUCUUAAAGGACCAUUCAGCAGCCAGUUGUGGUUGGGAAGUCAUCUAGAAGUAAUGAAUUAAGCAAGUUCAAAU